CAGCCGCCGCGGGAAUACGGAGGGAACUAGCGUUGUUCGGAAUUACUGGGCGUAAAGCGCGCGUAGGCGGUUACUCAAGUCAGAGGUGAAAGCCCGGGGCUCAACCCCGGAACUGCCUUUGAAACUAGGUGACUAGAAUCUUGGAGAGGUCAGUGGAAUUCCGAGUGUAGAGGUGAAAUUCGUAGAUAUUCGGAAGAACACCAGUGGCGAAGGCGACUGACUGGACAAGUAUUGACGCUGAGGUGCGAAAGCGUGGGGAGCAAACAGGAUUAGAUACCCCCGUAGUCCCUGUCUCUUAUAA
rnacentral:rRNA from 1 species